CAAAUUUUUUUUAGAGUGUGGGGAAAGAAAUGUAAUCAAAAAACAACUUUUGAGUCGAUUAAAUUGCAAGGAUUUCAGUAUUUGGCUGGAAUUCAGUUGGAAUAUUUUCAAACUUGAUGAAAUAUGGACCAGAAAAUGCCGGGAGACGAACCAGAAUUUGAAACAGAAGUCAUUGUUAAGCAAGAGCUAAUUCUUGAUGACGAUGAGUUGGUUCCUUUGGAAGGAGAAGACGAAAUUCCACCUCCAAAGUGUCCAUUAAAUGUGUUCAAAUAUCGGUGCAAAGUUUGUGAUAUAUCAUUUGCAAACAAAAAUCAACGGAAGUCUCACGUACGAACCCAUCAUAAACCAUCAAUUUUUACGUGCGCUAUUUGUCCAAAGACCUUCAAGGAGAGGUACCUGCUCGCCAAGCACGAAAGAGCUCACGAACGAUCCAACGAAAAGGUCAUCUCUGAAUUCCCGUGCCAACAUUGCAACAAAGUCUUUCAGGUCCUCUAUCUCUACAAGCGACACUUGAGGACGCAUGGUGCGGUCCGUUUCCGGUGCAGCGUCUGUCCAAAGUCCUAUAAAGGCCGUACAACGCUGAAGAAUCACGAGCAGGUCGUUCAUAACAUUGUUGCACCAGUAGCUGACAGUCCUAAGCCCGAUCCGGAUGAUCCGAAUCACUGUAAAGAGUGCGGUAAAACUCUUCUAACGAGAAAGAGUUUCGUUGACCACAUGCGAAGGCACAAAACCUUAAGGAAGGUGUUUUCAAAUGUAUUCCAUGCAAGAGGUCCUUUAGUAAAACUACUUACUGGUGCUGCACGAGAAUCGUGUUCAUAAUAAAACUAACGCUGAACUGGACGAACUCGUGGAGAUUCAGUGUAAGCUAUGCAACGUAGUGUUCCGUUCUCAAACGCCCCAUUCCGACCUGAGCAGGCAUCAGAAGGAAGUUCAUAGGGUUUUGAAAGGAACUGUGAGGAACGUGGAAGGGCAGUUCGUGCCAAACCAAGACUUCCAACCCGAAGCAAUCGUGAAGGAAGGGCAGUUCGUGCCAAACCAAGACUUCCAACCCGAAGCAAUCGUGAAGGAAGAAUUGAUCAUCGACGAUGUGUUCCAGCCCUGUGAAGAAAUUGAAGAUCAGGAGUUGCCACAGGUGGAUGGUCCCACGGAACCGCAAUCAUUUCACUGCCCGGUAUGUGAUAAAUCAUUUACGUGUAACAGAAAGUACUACACGCACCAACGAAGGCACAGGGAUCAAGCUUACACGUGUAUCACUUGCAAGAAGUCCUUCAAGGAAAAGUUCGAGCUCGAUCGGCACGUCAAACAGGUGCACCGGGAGCGACCGAAGCGCGCGCCUCCAGCGAUGAAAUUCCACUGCUCCGAGUGUGACAAAACGUUUACGCUGGAAAAGCUGUACAAGAACCACAUGGUGCGACAU